CAGAUCUUGUUCUGCAGAAUUUAUAGAAAUGUUUCACCGGGAAUGAUCAGUGGGAGACUAUUAAGAUGUUUCUUAGCUUUACCAGGACAAGUCUUCUACCUGAUUUUUUUAAAAAGUGGUCACAGAUAUUUCUGCAAAUCUCACAAUUUUAACAUGAUUUCCUACAGGGGAUCUCAUUUCCUUUAUUGCUUGUGUAGAACCAUGGAGACAUGAACAAUGCAGCAUGAGAAUUUCUUUCUCUUUCUUAACACUUUUUGUCUUAUCUAAAGUCAGUGUGUGUACUUCCAUUUUCUAUGGAAGUGCAUAACCCCUUUUCUAGGUCCUGCCAGGCUCCUGGCUUCAGUGACAAGAAUCUCCUCUGCAGCAAUCUCAUGUGAUAUCCCUCCUUUUCCUCGCUGGAUCCUGUUAGCAGCCUGAGCUAUGGAGUCAGGGUUCUGGUGUCUACAUUUAGGUUUGAUGCGCUGAUAGAAAGCAAAGAGUAAGAUAAAAUUACAGACCUCUAACACUUUUCCUUAAAUUAUUAGUAUUUAUAUUAUCUGUCAUGUUUUCAAGCCAGUUUUCACCUCUCCUUGGGCAAUUUCCAGGAUGACCCAGUCCAGCUCGGGCAGGAAGAGGGGAAGAGCAAUCAAUGGGACCAAUGCGUGGUGCAAAGAGGGGACCUCCAGUCCUCAACCCUCCAGGGCUUGCGCAAAUACUGGCAGCUGCUUACGAAGGAGUGGUGAAAGAAUGCAGUCCGGCUACCUCACACUGCCAGCACCCACAAGAGAGAAAAGGACCCUCCUGAACUCAUGGCACCUCUUCUUUGUAAAAGUGAAGGGCAAUUAGUUUUACCUGCUCUUCCCAACAUCCACUGGCUGUGCCUGUGGGAAACCUGCCAGCCACCAGCCUCCUGCCUAGCAGUGAACUUGGCACCCCAAAUAUCCCAAGCCAAAGCUGCCACCCCAUUUGCUGCCUCACACCCCCCUGCCCCAUCCCAGCUCCUCCAGCAGUGCUGCCUCUCCCUAGGAUGGAAGGGACAGAGGUGGGAAGAGGAGAAGAGCUAGAAAUGCCAUCCUAUGGGCCAGCUUCAGGCAGGAGCUGGGUUUUGAUAUUUAAUGGGUAUGAACUUUGUUUAAGACUAACAAAUGUGGCACCCUAAAUCAAUGGAUGCUGUUUAAUCCACAUGUAAGUUACCCUCCUGCCAGCACUCAGUUGUAAGAACCUCUCUGCCCUUCCAUAUCCAUGAGAUAUUGUGUUCUUGCCUUUCUAGCUUUAUCACUUUGACAGAUAUUAAAGUGAUCAGUGCUCUGGCAAAACUCACAAGGAAACAAGACUUUCCUUGUCUUGUUUCGCAAGGCACAAAACAUUGGCCAUAUUAAAGAUGAGAAAGAAAUAGUGAACAACAGCUCAUAUGAUAAUCACCAUUUAUUCUGUGUGUUGUGUGAGGCCUUACUGGAAACGCAAUGUACACAGGUAAUUAAAACUAUAUUGUUGUAUAUGCCUAAAUAGGCUGAAAUAUGACUGUGGACAAUUCUUUCAAAAUGGUGUGGUAGAAAGGUUCUUGGCCUCAUGAUGAAGUCAAUAACGUAUGGCCAAUCAAUCCCAUGUGAUCCUGAGAAUGUAGAGAAAUACCCUUAUGUAACAAAAUACAAUCUGGUUAAACACACAACCAAAAUAUGUAAAAAUAAUAAUUAAUAUAUUACAAUGCAGUUAAUAUAUUUGCAAGUAUUGUAAUGAUAAAAGGUAGUUGAAUAUCUUUCAUGCUUUGAAGGGCUCUCCUUUCUUACAGAUUAAAAUAAAUCAGCAGUGCUCUCUCUAUUCCUUGCAACAGUUUCAAUAAUGUGCAUGGUUUAUAUAAAAAUUCUUACUAACAUUUUGCCAGCUUGAUUUUUAAUU